CCUUCGAUAGCUCAGGUGGUAGAACGGAGGACUGUAGAUCCUUAGGUCGCUGGUUCGAUUCCGGCUCCAAGGA